rnacentral:miRNA from 1 species
UACCUCAUUGAUUGGAAGGGAUUCCUUCCGUCAAUGAGGUAUAACAACCUCAUCAGACGGAAGGGAUUCCUUCCGGUCGAUGAGGUA